AUUGAACGCUGGCGGCAUGCCUUACACAUGCAAGUCGAACGGCAGCACGGGAGCAAUCCUGGUGGCGAGUGGCGAACGGGUGAGUAAUAUAUCGGAACGUGCCCAGUCGUGGGGAUAACGUAGCGAAAGCUACGCUAAUACCGCAUACGAUCUAUGGAUGAAAGCGGGGGAUCGCAAGACCUCGCGCGAUUGGAGCGGCCGAUAUCAGAUUAGGUAGUUGGUGAGGUAAAGGCUCACCAAGCCGACGAUCUGUAGCUGGUCUGAGAGGACGACCAGCCACACUGGGACUGAGACACGGCCCAGACUCCUACGGGAGGCAGCAGUGGGGAAUUUUGGACAAUGGGCGAAAGCCUGAUCCAGCAAUGCCGCGUGAGUGAAGAAGGCCUCGGUUGGU
rnacentral:rRNA from 1 species